rnacentral:snoRNA from 1 species
AAAGUCGAAGAUGACGAGAUGAUAUCUUUUAUUCUUACUAGAUUGGAUAGUGAAUACAACCCAAUUGUCACAUCUGUCAUGGGGCGCUCUGAUCAGAUCUCGUUGACA